rnacentral:lncRNA from 1 species
AGUCAGGGAGGCAGCGUUUGUCUCAUCGUUCUUCUUGUAGUUCACUUCCUUUGGGACAGGAAGUCUUCCCUUAGGAAGCCUUCCCUCCAUGUCCUUGUUUGGAAAUGGUUCUUGACUGACCCAGAGAAAGAGUUCUGGGUAAUAAACCAUUUUGAGAAUCUUAGUCUUGGCUUCUAUUCUCCCUCUCUUCAGUCCAGGGAGACCAACAGACAAAAGCCCCGCUCCCUGUUCACUCUC